CUCAGAUUGUUUCCUUCUCCAAGGUCAAUCCUGGUCCUUUGGUCUGGCCCAAGCCAAGCCUCCUAGAACCUCUGGCCUGGGUGGAGGAGGGCAGCAUCCCUGAGGUUUCCCCUUUCUGCUUCCUUUGGCCUUAAAGGGGCAGUGGAUCUCCACCCCUGGGCCUCCCUGGAGGUCCCCUAUAGGGCCUGUCCCUAGGAUGUGCCUUGGCCAGUGCCCUCCAAAGCCCACAUCCUACCUCCUCCUCCUGCUGGCUCCUGGCUCUGAGCUCACAGGGGUAGACUUUCUAGCACAAAGGGCAGCUCCAGAGAGUAUCCUGAGGACAGGUCAGGGUCACAAGAAGCUCAGUGGCCUCUUAAACCCACUCAGAGACAGGUAAAUGGAAGUCCUAGACACACACACACACACACACACACACACACACACACACACACCCCGGCACUGCCUCUGCAUGCUGGGCUUCACCUCCAUCCCUUAUCAGCCUGGAAGAGGGUCCUUACUGAGCCCUUAGUUCACUCAGAACCCAGACGGAGUCUAAUUGCUUUCGUUUCAGAUCAGAUGAAAAAUAAGGAGAGUAAAUGAACCAACCACGGGCCAGAUUCAGAGCUGGUUUGUGUCACAUGUUUUCCAGGAAACCACUCUUAUUCUAAUAUGGUAAACUCUCUCUGAAAGAGACAAAUGGGUGUGGGGGAAGCAGCCACCCAAAAGCUAUUUCCUGAUCCUGGCCACCAGACAGAGAACUUCGUUGUGACUGAGCAGAGUUGUCUCCUUCCCCAGGAGGGGGAAGCUCUCUCGUGCCAAGAAGAUGGGUCAAGGAGUGUCCACAAUGACUUUGUCUGUGGGCAAUAUGAAAGACUCCAAUAAAAUGAACUAACGAGAUCCUAUCCUGGCCAAGCAGAGGGGAAGUCCCCCUUACAAGACUGUAUUUUGAAAAAAUAAAAAUAAAAAGAAUGCAUUUUGAAUAACAACAAUGUAAAUUUGGAGGCCUCAUUUUAGUUUUUUAUUGCUUUUAUCUGCUUGAGCACACUGAUCAACCACUGAACUACUUUCUUCUAUUUUCCUCCAGUGAUAUAUAAAGGUUACAUUUUUGUGUUUAUGGCUUUCAUGGUUGGGAUUUCAGAGCACCGACACCAGAUGUUUUAAGUUUCUCUGGGGGAAUUUCAUUUGCAUCUAUGUUUUUAGCUACUUGUGAUAACUUGUUAAAUAUUAGAAAGAUAUUUUGCUUCUUUUGAAACAUUAUUAUACUCAAAACUAUAUUUCUUUUUUUUUUUUACUGUUUAAGGAAUUUUUUUUUUUUGGUACUGGAGAUCGAACUCGGGUCCUUGCGCAUGCCCAGCAGGCACCAAAACCACUGAGCUAAAUCCCCAGCCCUGUUUAAGGAAUUUUUAUUAAAGCAAGAAUUUUAUAACCCAAAUUAUGUUUCCGUGCUCAGUUAUCAAUUCUGUUACUUAAAACAGAACUGACAUCCUGAGCUAUUCCACAGUAAAGAAUUACAAAAUAGCACAAGGACCUGCGUUCGAUCCCUAGUACCAAAAAAAAAAAGAAUUACAAAAUUAAAGAAAGGAAUGCUUUAAAUUUUUGUACUUUGCUGAAAAUUCUUUUCCCAGGGUCUAUAAAACAUUAAUUUGUCAAAACUAUAUUCCUUUUUUUGUUUUGUUUUGUUUUGUGUGGUACCGGGGAUCGAACCUGGGACCUUGAGUUUGUGAGGCUUGAGCUUGCAAGGCAGGGGGCAGAACCACUGUGCUAAAUCCCCAGCCCCUCAAAACUAUAUUUCUAUAAACAGCUGCUGUAAAAAAUAAAACAUUGGAAGUUUAAAAAAAAAUUGGGGGCCCUCCAAAAAAUCAUUUUAAAAAUUGUUUUAAGUCACAAAAUUAUUGAGUGUCUA
rnacentral:lncRNA from 1 species